UACGAAGGGGGCUAGCGUUGCUCGGAAUCACUGGGCGUAAAGGGUGCGUAGGCGGGUCUUUAAGUCAGGGGUGAAAUCCUGGAGCUCAACUCCAGAACUGCCUUUGAUACUGAAGAUCUUGAGUUCGGGAGAGGUGAGUGGAGCUGCGAGUGUAGAGGUGAAAUUCGUAGAUAUUCGCAAGAACACCAGUGGCGAAGGCGGCUCACUGGCCCGAUACUGACGCUGAGGCACGAAAGCGUGGGGAGCAAACAGGG
rnacentral:rRNA from 1 species